AUGUCCCCGAGAUAUUUGCUUUUAUACAGUACAUAAAUUAUAAACGCGCGCACUGCCUACUACGUUCAUUGAGUUAUGCUUUUAUCAAGGCUUUCUGAUUAGAAUUAUCGAUAUCCUGGCCAAUCAAUGCGAGCGACAAGUUCCAAACGCACGCACAUAGACAAGCGCAAAGUAGCGGCACGAAUCGCGGUAUAAUAGCGACUGGUAAAUACGUCUGUACAGAUGAUGACGUCAUCCAAGAUGGCAACUUACGAUGACCAACGAAGGAAUCGAGGAUGACUAAGUUUUGAUCAUCAUUUGAAAGGAAUUAGCGGUAACUGCGGUCUAAGCGUUCUAUGAGAAACACACAACUAACUACCGUCAGUUUUUCAAACCUAAUUGACUUCAAAGUCAUCGAUCACAACAAG